UCAGUUUCAGCAGGUUAGUUGGUAUCAUAUCUGGGUAAUGAAAUAAUUGUAAUAAACUUUUAAUGAAUUCAGUUUUGGUAGGUGAGUUGUGUAUGUUUCUCCAAGGUGAUUCGAUCACACUCGCUAAUCGCUAAAGCCGCCAGUCACCACCACUUUGAGUGACUACCAUCGCACCAACGCAUAUGACCUCAGAGUAUCAAGUUUUUUCACCAAUUGUUCCAACCCGAGAAUACUAUUUUGUUAGGUACUGCAAACAACAUACUGACGGGUUAUGGGCCGUGGUUGAUGUAUCUUUGGACAACUUGCACCCUUCCACAACCGCAAGAUCUAGAAGAAGGCCAUUGGGUUGUUUGAUUGAAGAACUUCCAAUGGAUAUUCGAAGGUCACAUGGGUUGAACAUGUUGAAGUCGAUGAUAGAGCUGUUCAUGACAGCUAUCGGUCACUAGUGAAUUCUGGUUUAGCAUUUGGGGCCAGACGAUGGGUAGCAACGCUUGACAGACAAUGUGAACGGCUUGCAAGCGCGAUGGCUAGCAAUAUUCCUUGAGGCGACGUUGGAGGUCGGAGAUGAAGUUUUCCUCAAAAGCAAAAGGCAUUCUAAACUCUACUGAGACUGUAGCAAGAGGAAGGGUCUAGAGCUUGGACCCAAAUGAUCUAUU
rnacentral:lncRNA from 1 species